GAGGGUAUAGCUCAGUGGUGGGGUGCAUGCUUAACAUGCACGAGGUCAUGGGUUCAAUCCCCAGUACAUUCA
rfam:Camelus ferus unplaced genomic scaffold scaffold2519, whole genome shotgun sequence.